CCUACGGGGGGCAGCAGUGGGGAAUAUUGCACAAUGGGGGAAACCCUGCUGCAGCAACGCCGCGUGAGCGAUGAAGGCCUUCGGGUCGUAAAGCUCUGUCCUAAGGGAAGAAUACUGACGGUACCUUAGGAGGAAGCACCGGCUAACUACGUGCCAGCAGCCGCGGUAAUACGGAGGGGGCUAGCGUUAUCCGGAAUUACUGGGCGUAAAGGGUGCGUAGGCGGCCCUUCAAGUCAGAGGUGAAAGGCUACGGCUCAACCGUAGUAAGCUUUUGAAACUGGAGGGCUGGAGUGCAGGAGAGGGGAGUGGGAUGGCCAGUGUAGUGGUGAAAUACGUAGAUAUUGGGUGGAACACCAGUUGCGAAGGCCACUCUCUGGACAGUAACUGACGCUGAGGCACGAAAGCGGGGGGAGCGAAGAGGAUUAGAUACCCAAGUAGGC
rnacentral:rRNA from 1 species